rnacentral:misc_RNA from 1 species
AAAUUCAAACACAGGGAACCGCGUUUACUCUUCUUUUUUAAUUUUUCUUUUCCAUGGGUUCAAACUUGCAAGUUUGAAAUGACUUAACUCUACUCUUCUAAUGAGUCUUGCUUUUGACUUGUGCGCCAUCUCAAGUCUGUAUUGUUCUUAUUCCUUUCAAAUCUACUUCUCCAUCACGCGCACACAGACCUCGAGAACAGGAAUUCUCAGCUUCGGCUUCCCAGAUGCACAAAAAGGUACGUAUUGAACUCUCGCGUAACCUUUCUUGAUCCAUUUCUGCAACUUGUAGUUUCUACUGCUAGUUAUUGUCCUUGAUUUUCUAGUUCCAAUAAUUCAGAUUCCAAUCUUCCUCUGCUUCUCAAUAUUAUGCAGUUUUAUAUAUGUAAUCUCUGUUUCGCUUCACUUUUCUGCUUCGGUUGCGUUUCUUGAAGAGCAACAAGAAGAAGACGAUUCAAUGAAAGAUAACUAAUAAUGAUAACAGAGUUUAGCAAGGUUUUAAAGAAAAUAAAAAAUUCGACCCAAAUAAAGAAAAGAAGAAGAAAUUUUUUUUUUUCAUUUUUGAUUGAGCGUGAUCCUAUAGAAGUAUGAUCCUGUUCAUGGGCAGAAUAUGCAGAGAACAAUAAAUGUUUUUGUGCUUAGAUGUCUAGAAAUGAUUGGGCUGUAUUUUCUGUUUCAUCACUGCUCAAAAUUCGCAGUUUGGAGGAUUUAUUUGGGUGGUGAAUAGACUGGUUGAUAAGAAAAAUGAUUAAACACAGGUGGCGUCAUUGAGAUGGGCGAUGGAGCUGGUGGGGCAAAGCUAGGUUGCCGCUGGUGGUCGCCGCAACGGCUGGGUCCAUUUGAAUUUGUAUAAUUAAAAGGGUUGGUUGGGUUUGGACUUUUUUUGUGGCGUGCGGAGGAUUUUCAUAAAUCAAAAGCACGCCGACAUCGUUUCUAGAGGACGGGGGCAUUGUUGUCUAUGUGCUGGAUGUUCUAGUUGUUUACAGCUAAGAUGUCAAUUUUAUGGGCUUAACCCAUUUACUAUUUUUCCAUUCCAAUACUGUUGGUGUUGGGUGGAAUAAUGCCCCCAUACAUUGAGAAGCCCAGACCUAGCUUAGUAGUUUAUAUAGGAAUAAAAAUUUUAUUAAUUUUUAUAAACAUUUAUUUUUGUUAUUAAAUUAUGUGUGUGUCUAUCUCUAAAAAAAAAAAAUUAUACCCAACUACUAAGCUAGUUUCAGUUUAAAUCAGCUCAAAACCUUUAAUUUAUGAUUUAUUAAAGGGUGAACCUUAGCUGACUCAAAAUUUUCAAAGUUUAGUUCUGAUUUAAUUUAGUUCCAUUCAAAUUCAUUGGUAUAUUUUUUUAAAUAAAAAGAUUUCGCUAUGAUUAUAAAUCAAAUUAGACUAUUCUAUUUCAACUCUAAUUUGAUUCAUUACGGUUUCGAUUUUGAACCGCUCCAUGGCUGAGUCUAGAAA